AAAAAUAUUACCUUUAAAAUGUUUGCAAAAUUAAUCGAAUAUACAAAAUUAAUAUUUCGAAAUACAAAAUUCUGAAGCGAAAAAUAUCAUAGAAGAUUAAACAUACCUAUCAAAUUAAACCAAUAUUUUAUAUUUCGAGAAUAUUGUUUGUUCUAGAAAUCAUAGAAGUACAUAUAAACAGCGAGAAACACUUCUCGUUAACGAUGGCCUUGAACGAUCCGGCAAACUUGUGUAGAAUAAGCGCAGUAGCUAUUUUGCACUGCUGGAAGCAGUGUGCCGAUUCCCCUCUUUAAUCGAUUCUACGUCCACGCAAUGGAUUCUCGAGUUGUUUAAAUACGGAGAACAAGAAGAAAUUACAGGGAGGGAGUUGGGACAAGAAAUAUGAUCGGGCGCUAUGAUAAACUCUUCCACCAACCAUUGAACAAACUAAUCAGUGAGGAGAAGUGAUAUUGGAAGAAUUUUUAAAAAAUUUAAAUUUGAAUACCAAACAUUCAUAAUACAUUAUUGCCAAUCAACGAAUUUCAAUAAUCGUGUUUUCAAAUAGAAUUCCACGAUGUAUCAACGUGAAGAAUACUCUUGGAUACCAGAAGAAAUUAUUCACGUAGACGAAGAGAUCUCUUUCAUUCUCUGACACACGUGUUCAGGUAUAUACACAAAACAGGUAUCCAACAAACAAACAAGAGUUGAAGUGCGAUAAUGACGUUUGCAAGAUCCUUUGCAAUUUUCUUUUGAUGUCAAACUUCUUAUUACACAUCACAAUGCUAUCUUGGAACGGUAUAAGUUUGAAUCUUUUCGCGACUCUCAAUUUAUCUUCUCCAUUGCAACAGAGCUGCUACUCGUUCUUGUUUCGACGAGGAUGUGUCGCAACCGACAGUUUAACUCGAGAGAGUAUUGUGAAACGUAAUUUCUGCGUAUAAGAGGAACGCGAGUAUAUUGUGUGUAUUAUGCGAACAUGUUUUUGAAACGUGUCGUGUGAUUACAAAUGACUAAUUGUAUUCGGCUAUACUAGUUGAUAGCUGUCUCUUUGAUAUUCUUUGUUGACAGAUUCAGACACACGUAUGUUUCAACAUCUAUAGAAAAUAACACUGGACGUUGAUUGGAUGUUUUAGAAAGGCGACAAAUUCGUGGUAUAUUCUCUUCAACAGAUUGAAUUGAAGAAAAAAUUGUAGGUGAGAAGAGGAUUUUCACAAAAAAAUUUCAAUUAUUAAAUCUUGCAAGUAUAAACAUGAAAUAAUAAAUUAUUAUAAUGCUGAAAAGGGGCUAUAGAGAGACAACUAUAAGAAAAGUAUUUCCUUCUUUUGUUUAGUGAUAUUUAUAGAUGAGAUAUAUCUGGCUAAAUAUUGCCUAAAUAUUGUCUAUUUUUGUAUUGAAUCUAUAUAUCAGAAAUAAUAAAUCAAAUUUAAAUUCUUUCAAAGAAAAUUAUAGCUUUAUAUAUUGAAAAUAAAGCACUCAAAUAUUCAUGCACAUUUUUUAUUAAAAAUGCUUUAUGAGGUAAGAAAUUGUUA
rnacentral:lncRNA from 1 species